CCUACGGGAGGCAGCAGUAGGGAAUCUUCCACAAUGGACGAAAGUCUGAUGCAGCAACGCCGCGUGAGUGAAGAAGGGUUUCGGCUCGUAAAGCUCUGUUGGUAGUGAAGAAAGAUAGAGGUAGUAACUGGCCUUUAUUUGACGGUAAUUACUUAGACAGUCACGGCUAACUACGUGCCAGCAGCCGCGGUAAUACGUAGGUGGCAAGCGUUGUCCGGAUUUAUUGGGCGUAAAGCGAGUGCAGGCGGUUCAAUAAGUCUGAUGUGAAAGCCUUCGGCUCAACCGGAGAAUUGCAUCAGAAACUGUUGAACUUGAGUGCAGAAGAGGAGAGUGGAACUCCAUGUGUAGCGGUGGAAUGCGUAGAUAUAUGGAAGAACACCAGUGGCGAAGGCGGCUCUCUGGGCUGCAACUGACGCUGAGGCUCGAAAGCAUGGGUAGCGAACAGGAUUAGAUACCCCAGUAGUC
rnacentral:rRNA from 1 species